rnacentral:rRNA from 1 species
UCGCGAAUGGCUCAUUACAACAGCUAUAAUUUACUUGAUCUUGACACUAUCCUACUUGGAUAACUGUGGUAAUUCUAGAGCUAAUACAUGCAUUAAAGCUCUGACCUUCGGGGAAGAGUGCAUUUAUUAGAACAAAACCAAGCGGCUUCGGCUGUUUUCGGUUGACUCAUAGUAACUGAGCUGAUCGCAUGGUCUUGCACCGGCGACGUGUCUUUCGAGUAUCUGCCGUAUCAACUUUCGAUGGUAGUGUAUCUGACUACCAUGGUGAUCACGCGUAACGGAGAAUAAGGGUUCGACUCCGGAGAGUUCGCCUGAGAAAUCGCGAACACAUCUAAGGAAGGCAGCAGGCGCGAAAAUUACCCACUCUCAGCACGAGGAGGUAGUGACGAAAAAUAACGAGACCGUUCUCUUAUGAGGCCGGUCAUCGGAAUGGGUACAAUUUAAACCCUUUAACGAGUAUCUAUGAGAGGGCAAGUCUGGUGCCAGCAGCCGCGGUAAUUCCAGCU